rnacentral:rRNA from 1 species
UACGUAGGGGGCAAGCGUUGUCCGGAUUUAUUGGGCGUAAAGAGCGUGUAGGCGGCUAGGUAGGUCCGUUGUGAAAACUCGAGGCUCAACCUCGAGCUGUCGAUGGAAACCAUCUGGCUAGAGUCCGGAAGAGGAGAGUGGAAUUCCUGGUGUAGCGGUGAAAUGCGCAGAUAUCAGGAAGAACACCCGUGGCGAAGGCGGCUCGCUAGGACGGUACUGACGCUGAGGCGCGAAAGCGUGGGGAGCGAACAGG